rnacentral:rRNA from 1 species
UGCGGUUAUACAAAAAUUGAAAAUAAAUUUUUUUAAAAAUUAAUUAAUAAAAAUAAUUAAAAUUUAAAUUUUAAAUUAUAAAGUGAAAUUUUAAUUUAAUUAAAAAUUAUUUUAUUUUAUGAAUUAAUAAAUUUUAAUAAUAAACUAGGAUUAGAUACCCUAUUAUUAAAAAUUUAAAAUAAUAAUUUUAAAAUAGUAGAUAUAUUAUAUUGAAACUUAAAUAAUUUGGCGGUAUUUUAGUUCAUUUAGAGGAAUCUGUUUAAUAAUUGAUAAUCCACGAAUAAAUUUACUUAAUUUAUUAUUUUGUAUAUCGUUGUUAAAAAAAUAUUUUAUAAUAAAAAUAAUAUUUAAAAAUUUAAAUUAAAAAUUAAAUCAGAUCAAGAUGCAGAUUAUAAUUAAGAAUAUAAUGGAUUACAAUAAAAUUAUUUAAGUGGAUAUUAAUUUGAAAAAAUUAAUUAAAAAUGGAUUUAAAUGUAAUUUUUAUUAAUUUAUAAAAAUGAUUGAAAAUUAAGAUAUGUACAUAUUGCCCGUCGCUUUCAUUUAUAAAUUGAAAUAAGUCGUAACAAAGUAGAGGUACUGGAAAGUGUUUCUAGAAAGAU